rnacentral:rRNA from 1 species
CCUACGGGAGGCAGCAGUAGGGAAUCUUCCACAAUGGGCGAAAGCCUGAUGGAGCAACGCCGCGUUGGUGAAGACGGUCUUCGGAUCGUAAAACCCUGUUGUUAGAGAAGAAAGUGCGUGAGAGUAACUGUUCACGUGUCGACGGUAUCUAACCAGAAAGCCACGGCUAACUACGUGCCAGCUACCUCGAUAAUACGUAGGUGGCAAGAGUUAUCCGUAUUUAUUGUGCUUAAAUGGAACGCAGGAGGUCUUUUAAGUCUGAUGUGAAAGCCUUCGGUUUAACCGGAGUAGUGCAUUGGAAACUGGGAGACUUGAGUGCAGAAGAGGAGAGUGGAACUCCAUGUGUAGCGGUGAAAUGCGUAGAUAUAUGGAAGAACACCAGUGGCGAAAGCGGCUCUCUGGUCUGUAACUGACGCUGAGGUUCGAAAGCGUGGGUAGCAAACAGGAUUAGAUACCCUAGUAGUC